AUUGAACGCUGGCGGCAGGCUCAACACAUGCAAGUCGAGCGGGGAAAAGUAGCUUGCUACUGGACCUAGCGGCGGACGGGUGAGUAAUGCUUAGGAAUCUGCCUAUUAGUGGGGGACAACAUCUCGAAAGGGAUGCUAAUACCGCAUACGUCCUACGGGAGAAAGCAGGGGACCUUCGGGCCUUGCGCUAAUAGAUGAGCCUAAGUCGGAUUAGCUAGUUGGUGGGGUAAAGGCCUACCAAGGCGACGAUCUGUAGCGGGUCUGAGAGGAUGAUCCGCCACACUGGGACUGAGCCACGGCCCAGACUCCUCCGGGAGGCAGCAGUGGGGAAUAUUGGACAAUGGGGGGAACCCUGAUCCAGCCAUGCCGCGUGUGUGAAGAAGGCCUUUUGGUUGUAAAGCACUUUAAGCGAGGAGGAGGCUACCGGGAUUAAUACUCUUGGAUAGUGGACGUUACUCGCAGAAUAAGCACCGGCUAACUCUGUGCCAGCAGCCGCCGUAAAAC
rnacentral:rRNA from 1 species